GUGGGGGAUAUUGCGCAAUGGGGGAAACCCUGACGCAGCAACGCCGCGUGAAGGAUGAAGGUCUUCGGAUUGUAAACUUCUUUUAUUAAGGACGAAGAAAGUGACGGUACUUAAUGAAUAAGCUCCGGCUAACUACGUGCCAGCAGCCGCGGUAAUACGUAGGGAGCAAGCGUUGUCCGGAUUUACUGGGUGUAAAGGGUGCGUAGGCGGCUUUGCAAGUCAGAUGUGAAAUCUAUGGGCUCAACCCAUAGCCUGCAUUUGAAACUGCAGAGCUUGAGUGAAGUAGAGGCAGGCGGAAUUCCCCGUGUAGCGGUGAAAUGCGUAGAGAUGGGGAGGAACACCAGUGGCGAAGGCGGCCUGCUGGGCUUUAACUGACGCUGAGGCACGAAAGCGUGGGUAGCAAACAGGAUUAGAUACCCCUGUAGUCC
rnacentral:rRNA from 1 species